rnacentral:sRNA from 1 species
GCUGGGAGCAAUGGCAUACACCUGUAAUCCCAGCAGCUCCGGAGGCUGAGGCAGGAGGAUCUCAAGUUCAAAGCCAGCCUCAGCAAAAGUGAGGUGCUAAGCAACUCAGUGAGACCCUGUCUCUA